rnacentral:rRNA from 1 species
GUGUCAGCAGCCGCGGUAAUACGUAGGUGGCGAGCGUUGUCCGGAAUUACUGGGUGUAAAGGGCGUGUAGGCGGGGAAACAAGUCAGAUGUGAAAUUCUGGGGCUCAACCCCAGCGCUGCAUCUGAAACUGUAUCUCUUGAGUGCUGGAGAGGAAAGCGGAAUUCCUAGUGUAGCGGUGAAAUGCGUAGAUAUUAGGAGGAACACCAGUGGCGAAGGCGGCUUUCUGGACAGUAACUGACGCUGAGGCGCGAAAGCGUGGGGAGCAAACAGGAUUAGAUACCCGGGUAGUCC